rnacentral:lncRNA from 1 species
CAGGGUGAGGAUGUGGUUGCUGGAAUCAGAACCCCGGAGGAUCUUGAUGCCAUGAAGGCACAGAUGCCGGAUGCUUAUGUAGAGCUCGUUGAGAACUGCAAGAUACUGGAGAGCCACUACAAAGAAAUGAUGGUACCUUAUUAUUGCAUUUUCAACCUUUACUGCACCAUUUAUUUUUGAGCUAUAUUUAAACAUGAUCUCUUUAAUAAUUUGCAACAUAAGCGCACUUGAAUACUGGUGUUGCUUCAAUGUGUUCUGUAGAUUGGCAUUGUGUCUCUGUUACUGCCAUUGGCCAUGAUCUCAGACUUGCUUGCUUUUUAUGCAUGAUGCAGGACAUUGAAUUUACCGUUCAGGAAAAUAGGCUCUGGAUGUUACAGUGCAGAUCAGGAAAACGUACAGGCCAAGGGGCGGUAAAGAUUGCUGUGGACAUGGUUAAUGAGGGUCUUGUUGAGCGCCGUCAAGCGAUUAAGAUGGUAGAGCCAGGCCACCUGGACCAGCUUCUCCAUCCUCAGGUAAUGGAUAACCAUGAGGCCCGUAAACUGAUUGUGCCUUACUUGAAAUUCAGUACUCUUAUAAGUUUGGCCUUACUUGGAAUUCACUUUAUAAGUUAAGUACUGGAUAUGUAUUAACAUCACUGUUUUAAUCUUGUCCAAUGAAAACCAGUUUGAGAACCCAUCAGCAUACAAGGAUCAAGUAAUCGCUACAGGCUUACCAGCUUCACCUGGGGCUGCUGUGGGCCAAAUUGUAUUUACUGCAGAGGACGCUGAAGCAUGGCAUGCCCAAGGGAAAGCUGCUAUCCUGGUAAACACCAUUUUAUCCUCAUUUUUAAGAAAAAAAGGUCUUCUGCAGUUUUUGUGUCAUUUUGAUCUGGACUUUGUGCUUCGAUGAAAAGAUCUGUUAAUUGAGCAAAACUGGUCUAUUUACUGGACCUGUUAGAAUAGUUGCUUGCAGAGUUACAGUCACAAAAAUCCCACUUAUCACAGACAGCCAUUUUUGAAAUGCAUAUGGAAGCUCCAAGUCGUAUCGCUUCAUCUUUUGCAUUCUGAGAAUUUUUUCUUUGCAAAU